GUCGAAGACAAAAACCGAUCUGUUGAUGUACUAUCAAAUAGAGAUUUAAUGCGGUUUUAUUUCACAUAGAGCAGACAAAGAAUUUCAUUUAUAAGCGGCGCUCCAUGAAUUUAGUAGAUCCUUUUAGGAAGCCCUAAUGACCAUAGAUCGAACCAGUCCAAUUUUUACAGUGCAAUGGUUGGUUGUUCACGGACUAGCGGUCCCCACCGUUAUGUUUUUGGGGGUAAAUAUCAGCAAUGCAGUUCAAUCGAACCCGCCGCGUGUUAAGACCGGCGUGUAAGACUGAAGACCUGCAGCAAAUCGGCAACUGCAUUAAUUUCCAUACUCAAAUUCCUCGUCAACGGGCAACCCCUCACUUCUCUCUCUACAAUCGGAUCUCUCUCUCUAGAUAUUUGCUGCAGAUACAUACCGUACAAGGGGUUUGAUGUGAUCCAUGGUAUUGGUGAAAAGUAGCAGACUUCUCUCAUGACUUGUUUUACUUUCUGUUUCAGAAAGAAGGUAGCUUACCCAACUAAACAAACGAUAGAUAUCAAAGAAGAGGUUUCAGGCAUUCAGAAUGUUAUAGUGUACACUUAUGAAGAAAUGCGAAUAGCAACUGAAGAUUUUAGUCCAGCUAAUAAAAUUGGGAAGGGUGGUUUUGGUUCUGUCUACAAGGUAAUUGGAAAGCUCAAAGAUGGCACUGUGGUUGCUUUAAAGGUGCUUUCUGCUGAGUCAAGGCAGGGGUCACGGGAGUUCUUAACAGAGGUUAAUGUGAUCUCAAAUGUAGAGCAUGAAAAUCUAGUGAAAUUGUAUGGUUGUUGUAUGGAAGGGAGUCACAGAAUUUUGGUAUAUGGCUAUCUAGAAAACAAUAGCCUCGAUCAAAUUCUUCAUGGAGGAAGCCACAGUAGCAUUCAGUUUAGCUGGAAAAUGCGGUGUAAAAUUUGCACUGGGGUUGCUCGGGGGCUUGCAUUUCUUCAUGAGGAGGUUCGGCCACAUAUUGUUCAUAGAGACAUUAAAGCAAGCAAUGUCCUCCUUGACCAAGACCUCACACCCAAGAUUUCAGAUUUCGGUCUCGCAAAGUUUUUCCCGGACAACCAGACUCACAUAAGUACACGUGUUGCAGGAACUAUUGGUUAUUUGGCUCCUGAGUAUGCGCUACGAGGCCAGUUGACGAGGAAAGCAGAUAUUUACAGUUUUGGUGUUCUCCUCUUGGAAAUUGUCAGUGGGAGAUGCAACACAAACAAGCGGUUACCUUUUGAAGAACAAUGUCUUCUUGAAAGGAUGUGGGAACUGCACAAGCAAGGAGAGCUGCUGGCGAUGGUGGACAUGUCAUUGGAAGGGGAUUUUGAUGACAAUGAGGCUUUAAGAUUCUUGAAGAUUGGUCUCCUUUGCACCCAAGAAAUGGCAAAGCUCCGGCCGUCGAUGUCUACUGUGGUGAAGAUGCUUACAGGUGAGAUGGAUGUGGACAAGCAGAAGAUAUCAAGACCAGGCCUAAUGUCUGAUUUAAUGGGUCUCAGAAAAAAUAAGAAUACAUCGGACACAUUAUCUGGUAGCUCAGGCAAACAGGAUAAUAUCUCAUCACCCGAGAACACGACUGGGUCACGUGCUACUAUGACCUUCACUUCAAUAUAUGACCGAAGUGCUUGACUAGUCCCAUGAGAGGUUUCUCGAGCAAAUCUAUCAUCUCUACUGGAGUGCAACACUCAAGCUGGUUGUAUAGAAACAAUCCAAAAACUAGGUACAAGUUGUUGCUCCCAUCAUCUGCUGCAAGAAGAUGGCAGAGGCCAUUGGGACCUAUUGUCAAGGAUUCAGACACAACCUGUAAUAGUAUGGUCUUCAUUUGCUGGGUAGUCAGCAAAACUUGUUUCCCCUUGCAUAAUAUGCUGCAUUCUAUAUUCCCAUGGCUUUUUGAGAAGCAUUCUGUAAUCCUCAAUGAUUCCCAAAAGGAGAUAUUUAACAGGGUUGCUUGCCCUUUUACUUUUUGGGUAAUAUUCACAAUCUAUUUAUUUUUUUUGCACUGUUUAAAAGAUAUGUGCAUAUCUGUGUAUAGUUCUUGAUUUUCACAUCCAUCUGGCAAUUAUGUUAUUCCUGAGAAACUGCAAUGUCUGAAAUUGAGAAUCCUCUUUACCAAGUUGUGUUA